GCCGGCAAAAGACUAUCGUCUAUCGACGACAUUUGCGGCGAAGCACGCAGAUAUGCGGCCAAUUUUUAGAAGCUGACAGGAGCUUUCCUUUUUUCUU
rnacentral:lncRNA from 1 species